GACAGAGGUGCCGAGCGUUAGGCGGAAUCACUGGGCUUAAAGCGUGUGUAGGCGGACCGUUAAGUACCUUGUGAAAUCCUGCGGCUCAACCGCAGAACGGCUGGGUAUACUGGCGGUCUUGGGCCACCUAGGGGCAGAUGGAACAGACGGUGGAGCGGUGAAAUGCGUAGAUAUCGUCUGGAACGCCAAUGGUGAAAACAGUCUGCUGGGGGUGUGCCGACGCUGAGACACGAAAGCCAGGGGAGCAAACGGG
rnacentral:rRNA from 1 species